UUUCUGCGGGUCGGGUCGGAGGAGGGGUGAGGGUUGGGGAUGAGCUUCUCACUAAGCCUUUCACAGGCCUCUUAGCAGUCUCCCCCUCUGUGCCGCUCACGGUCCCAUCUGACGACGGAGACCACGGAUCAUCCAUGAGCUCCCCCUUCGGUAGCACCACAUCAGGAUGAGAUCUCACCUCCGGCACUGGGCAUUGUAGCCACAUCCAGUCAGCAACUUAGGAAGAGCCAGGAGAAGUGACAGGCAUGCUGGCUAGCUGAUUAUGACCAACAGAAGACUUAGGAGGAGAAGCUGAACCCGGCGACCAUUGCAGGGGUCCAUGUGACAAUGAAUCAUACUGCCCCGGCCCGUUCAGAAACCAAAAGGAUGACCUUGGAGCCCAGCACGCUGCAGGAAACUUGUGGCAGCCUAGACGGGGAUAAAGACCAGAGCACCACCAUCUUCUCAGGGUUUGCGGGGCUCCUUGCCACCCUCCUGGUCAUCGCGGUUCUCUGCAUCCUGUGCAACUGGAAUAAACGGAAGAAGCGCCCAGUUCCUUACCUCCGAGUUACUGUCAUGCCCUCGCUGACCCUGCCUCAGUGCAGGCAAAGAUCCAAAAACAUUUAUGACUUCUUGCCUCGGAGACAAGAAGAGCCAGGGAGACAUCAGUCAAGGAGUAUUCGCAUUUUCAGUACUGAGAGGCUUCUCUCCAGAAAUUCGGACAGCCCUACCCCUGAGCAUGUGCUCUCACGAGCAGGCAAUGCCCUCCAGGUGCAUGCAGUCCAUACCUGUGCCAUGGGGUAUGCAGUGGGUGUCUAUGACAACACUAUGGUGCCCCAGAUGUGUGGGACCUUCACGCCCUCAGCACCCUACGUCAAUGUCAGAGCUUCCAGAGACGACCUGAGCAUUUCUUCAGAGGAUUCGAGGGAUUAUGUCAAUGUGCCCAGAGCAGAAGAAAUUGCUGAGAAUCUAGCUUCCAACUCCCCCAGAAAUCUGUCUGUCCUCCCAAGUACACAGGAGCUGGACUUUACUGAGAAAAGAGACGUGGGCUGUGGGGACACCAGUGACUGCACCAGAUUUUGGUCUCCAGGAACUGAGAGCAGCAAUGAACUCAGUGAUGAGGAGAGCUCUUCUCAGACCUCAAAUGACUACGUCAACGUGUCAGAAUUAGAUCUUGGGGCCGCCCAGAGGGAGAAGCCCUGGACGACUUUUCAGUGCUGCAGAGAUUAUGAAAAUGUCCCACCAGCAGAUGUCAAUGGAAGCCAGCAGCAGGCAGAGGAAGAGGCGACAUCCUUAAACACAGACCAUGUGAAGGGCAGGACAGAUGCUCUGGGGACCCACACUCAGCCUGUCAUGCAAUCAGGCAGUUUCCUUGUUUUAGGGGAUCAUAUGGCCUUUCAGCCAUUGGCACAGAGUGGGAAUAGUCAGAUGAAGCAUGGAGAAGAGACGCCAAGUGAGGACGAUAGUGACUACGAGAAUGUGCUAGCUGCCAAGUUAGGAGACAAGGACUCUGAGCAGGGAUCGGGCACACAGCUCCUUCCUGAUGAAUUAAGACCCAGCGACCCAGCUGGAAAGUUACAUGGAAUGGUUUAUCCUGCUGGAUCCACAGCCACCACAGAGUCCAGUGAUGAUCCAUGACCACUCUAGUAUCCCAGUGGAUUCAUUUGGUUGGGCUCAAAAGAGGCUGAGGAAAUUUUGAAUUAAAUGGAAUACCCAUUGCAGUCAUUGUCUCAUCUCAAUUGCCUGAUAACACUAAACGUGAGGAAAGUUUUUCAAGAUCAGGAAUGAGAAGUAGAUGUAAAGAUAACUAAUUCAUUGUGAUUCUUCGAUUAGUUAAAUAUACUCAAUUAAUUACUCAAACGUGUAUUAUAGUGAUGUGUUCUCAUUCAGAAUUCUGUUUGGUAUGAAAUGCAGAGGUUUGCUAGGUCUCCUGCAUCCUUCUAUAAAGACCCUGUCCUCGAAGGGUAAGCAGAAGACAUAACUUGAUGUCUUUCUUGGAUCUGCCCUCUCUGAACCUCUCUUAGUUACCUUGGGCUGGAUCAUCAUUCCUGGGUUUCCCGUGGGCUGAGGGCCUGUACUGACUUGCAAAUACUUCCAGGAACUCUGAGUCUUAAAACAGUCAAUAAGUGGAUGCCCUACCUCCCUGGAGUUAGGGGGAAAUGGAAAUAAACACUUCCUCUUGCCAACCUUUUUCUUCAGCUUUCCCAUCCCCAGACUGGAAAGGUGGCUGUACAUUUCUACCCUGAAGGGUUAGGACCAUUUCAGAAGAAUAGGACAACAUAACCCGAACUUUAACCAUUUCCUCCUAUCUCAGACACUCUUUCGACUCGCCAGGAACAAGGCAAGGUGCCUCAAACCCUUCACAAGCAAGCAGUUUCCCAGGCAAGGCUGGCUUCAUGGGCACACGUGUGCAGUUGCCCAGGGACAGCUCAGCUGUCGCCAUCUUGAAAUUCUUAACUUUGAAAGAAAUUCUUCUUUAUGAGCUUAUGUUUGUAAAUAAAAUCUGCUGGGACAAUGCAGGCUGCAUGUGGGCAGAGGAGAUGCACAUAAUAUGCAUAUCCACCACUCCUUGUGGCUCUAUUUGCAUAUAGCUUUGAUGAUGCCCCAUAAGUACUGAAUUCUGUUGGACCCACAAUUCGCAUGUCUCAAAGUAAGUACAAGAAAAGUGUGUGAUGUCCACAACUGAGUAAGCAGGGGCUCUGACAGUCCUGAGAGACCACAAUUUCUGUUCAAACCAGAGCUUGCUUUAAAUCCAGAAAGAGGCAAUAGUGUUCUAAGAAGCACAAAUGACUGAGGAACCCUAUUAUAUCCUUUCUUACUUGUAUUACUUUGCUGUAAUACUUAACCACUUACACUGAAAAUAAUGACACAGAAGGAAAGGGACAGUUAGGGCAGCUCCUCAUAGUUCCUUUUCCUUUGAUUUUCUACCUUUGAUUUACUGAUGUAGUCUUUCCUUAUUCAUCAGUUAAUCAAAGGUAGAGAGUAUUGGUAGGAUGUGUGUAUAUCAAGAAGCAAAAUAAAAACAGUUGAGUUAGUUUUGUGCAGUGUUUCCACUGUUGUGGUAAGAAUUAAAUAGAUACAUAUGUACAAGCUGCAAAAUAAAAUUAGUAUAGUUUUGGUGACUCCACAGACAAGUUAAACACUCAUGUUUGCAUUUAAAACAGGCAUUGCACAACGUAAAGAUGAAUGGUAAAAUUCAUGCUAACAAUUUAAAAUUUUUAUGUUUUUUAUUUAAAGAAUGCAUUAAGAAGUAUCUUAGUCUGGGUU